CCAACAGGGAUUGCCUCAGUAACGGCGAGUGAAGCGGCAACAGCUCAAAUUUGAAAGCUGGCUCUUUUAGGGCCCGCAUUGUAAUUUGUAGAGGAUGCUUCAGGUGCGGCGCUGGUCUAAGUUCUUUGGAACAAGACGUCAUAGAGGGUGAGAAUCCCGUAUGUGACUAGCUGCCUGUGCCUGUGUGAAGCUCCUUCGACGAGUCGAGUUGUUUGGGAAUGCAGCUCAAAAUGGGUGGUGUACUUCAUCUAAAGCUAAAUAUUGGCCAGAGACCGAUAGCGCACAAGUAGAGUGAUCGAAAGAUGAAAAGCACUUUGGAAAGAGAGUUAAACAGUACGUGAAAUUGUUGAAAGGGAAGCGCUUGCAAUCAGACUUGCGCGGCGUCGAUCAACCUGGGUUCUCCCUGGUGCACUCGGCGCUGCUCAGGCCAGCAUCAGUUUCAGCGGUUGGAUAAAGGCCUAGGGAACGUGGGUUACUUCGGUGACUGUUAUAGCCCUAGGUGCAAUGCAGCCUGCUGGGACUGAGGACCGCGCUUCGGCUAGGAUGCUGGCGUAAUGGUUGUAAGCGACCCGUCUUGAAACACGGACCAAGGAGUGUAAUAUUUAUGCGAGUUUUUGGGUGUUAAACCCAUAAGCGUAAUGAAAGUGAACGGAGGUGAGAACCCUUCAGGGUGCAUCAUCGACCGAUCCUGAAGUCUUCGGAUGGAUUUGAGUAAGAGCAUAACUAUUGCGACCCGAAAGAUGAUGAUCUAUACUUGAAUAGGGUGAAGCCAGAGGAAACUCUGGUGGAGGCUCGCAGCGGUUCUGACGUGCAAAUCGAUCGUCAAAUUUGAGUAUAGGGGCGAAAGACUAAUCGAA
rnacentral:rRNA from 1 species